rnacentral:rRNA from 1 species
UUUAAAUUGAGAGUUUGAUCCUGGCUCAGGAUGAACGCUGGUGGCGUGCCUAAUACAUGCAAGUCGUACGCUAGCCGCUGAAUUGAUCCUUCGGGUGAAGUGAGGCAAUGACUAGAGUGGCGAACUGGUGAGUAACACGUAAGAAACCUGCCCUUUAGUGGGGGAUAACAUUUGGAAACAGAUGCUAAUACCGCGUAACAACAAAUCACACAUGUGAUCUGUUUGAAAGGUCCUUUUGGAUCGCUAGAGGAUGGUCUUGCGGCGUAUUAGCUUGUUGGUAGGGUAGAAGCCUACCAAGGCAAUGAUGCGUAGCCGAGUUGAGAGACUGGCCGGCCACAUUGGGACUGAGACACUGCCCAAACUCCUACGGGAGGCUGCAGUAGGGAAUUUUCCGCAAUGCACGAAAGUGUGACGGAGCGACGCCGCGUGUGUGAUGAAGGCUUUCGGGUCGUAAAGCACUGUUGUAAGGGAAGAAUAACUGAAUUCAGAGAAAGUUUUCAGCUUGACGGUACCUUACCAGAAAGGGAUGGCUAAAUACGUGCCAGCAGCCGCGGUAAUACGUAUGUCCCGAGCGUUAUCCGGAUUUAUUGGGCGUAAAGCGAGCGCAGACGGUUUAUUAAGUCUGAUGUGAAAUCCCGAGGCCCAACCUCGGAACUGCAUUGGAAACUGAUUUACUUGAGUGCGAUAGAGGCAAGUGGAACUCCAUGUGUAGCGGUGAAAUGCGUAGAUAUGUGGAAGAACACCAGUGGCGAAAGCGGCUUGCUAGAUCGUAACUGACGUUGAGGCUCGAAAGUAUGGGUAGCAAACGGGAUUAGAUACCCCGGUAGUCCAUACCGUAAACGAUGGGUGCUAGUUGUUAAGAGGUUUCCGCCUCCUAGUGACGUAGCAAACGCAUUAAGCACCCCGCCUGAGGAGUACGGCCGCAAGGCUAAAACUUAAAGGAAUUGACGGGGACCCGCACAAGCGGUGGAGCAUGUGGUUUAAUUCGAAGAUACGCGAAAAACCUUACCAGGUCUUGACAUACCAAUGAUCGCUUUUGUAAUGAAAGCUUUUCUUCGGAACAUUGGAUACAGGUGGUGCAUGGUCGUCGUCAGCUCGUGUCGUGAGAUGUUGGGUUAAGUCCCGCAA